UAUUUAUCACUCAAACUUUUCUCUCUUUCUUGUUAGUCUUGUAAGUCUUGUAAGUACACUUACAAGCUUGAUUGUUUCAAAGAAGAAAGACCAUGGACAUUGAAGAUCAACAAAGAUCUAAAUCUAGUCAAACAAAGAGCUGUGCUAUUUGUACAACAACAAAGACUCCUCUUUGGAGAGGAGGCCCUUCUGGUCCCAAAACACUGUGUAAUGCAUGUGGGAUAAAGUAUAGAAAGAAGAAAGAAAAGAACAAUGGAAGUGGAAGAAUAAUGAAAGUUGGGAUGUGGAAUUUUGGAAGUGAUUUAUUGUUGAAAAAAAGGUCUUUUAUUAACAAAAGUAUGAUGAUGAUGAUGAAGAAGAAGAGGGUAUUAAGAGAAGAUGAAGAAGCUGCUGUUCUUUUAAUGGCUUUGUCUUGUGGAUUUCAUGAUCUUUUUUUAAUGGAUCAUUAGAUCUAUUUAUAUUUUAAUUAUAUUGUUUUUUUUUCAUUGAUGUUUGU